rnacentral:rRNA from 1 species
UACGAGGGGGGGCGAGCGUUUGUUCGGAAUUAUUGGGCGUAAAGGGUGCGUAGGCGGUUCCGCAAGUCCUGUGUGAAAUCUUCGGGCUCAACUCGAAGUCUGCACGGGAAACUGCGGGGCUUGAGUGUGGGAGAGGUGAGUGGAAUUCCCGGUGUAGCGGUGAAAUGCGCAGAUAUCAGGAAGAACACCCGUGGCUAAGGCGGCUCUCUAGUACGGUACUGACGCUGAGACGCGAAAAGCGUGGGGAGCGAACAGG